rnacentral:rRNA from 1 species
CCUACGGGUGGCAGCAGUGAGGAAUAUUGGUCAAUGGACGCAAGUCUGAACCAGCCAUGCAGCGUGAAGGAAGACGGCUCUAUGAGUUGUAAACUGCUUUUGUACGAGGGUAAACGCAGAUACGCGUAUCUGUCUGCAAGUAUCUUACGAAUAAGGAUCGGCUAACUCCGUGCCAGCAGCCGCGGUAAUACGGAGGAUUCGAGCGUUAUCCGGAUUUAUUGGGUUUAAAGGGUGCGUAGGCGGGUGGAUAAGUUAGAGGUGAAAUCCCGAGGCUCAACUGUGGAAUUGCCUAUGAUACUGGUAGGCUAGAGAGUAGUUGCGGUAGGCGGAAUGUAUGGUGUAGCGGUGAAAUGCUUAGAGAUCACACAGAACACCGAUUGCGAAGGCAGCUUACCAAGCUACGUCUGACGUUGAGGCACGAAAGCGUGGGGAGCAAACAGGAUUAGAUACCCCUGUAGUC